rnacentral:rRNA from 16 species
GGAUGCGAUCCUACCAGCACUAAAGCACCGGAUCCCAUCAGAACUCCAAAGUUAAGCGUGCUUGGGCGAGAGUAGUACUAGGAUGGCUGACCUCCUCGGAAGUCCUCGUGUUGCAUUCC